rnacentral:rRNA from 1 species
GAUAAACGCUGGCGGCAUGCCUAAUACAUGCAAGUCGAACGCUCUCGAUCUUCGGAUCAAUGAGGGAGUGGCGAACGGGUGAGUAACACGUAAGAAAUCUGCCCUAAAGACGAGGAUAACUAUUGGAAACGAUAGCUAAUACUGGAUAGGCCAUAAAAUCGCAUGAUUUAAUGGUUAAAGGUCCGUUUGGACCACUUUAGGAUGAUCUUGCGCUGUAUUAGCUAGUUGGUAAGGUAACGGCUUACCAAGGCGACGAUACAUAGCUGGACUGAGAGGUUGAACAGCCACACUGGGACUGAGACACGGCCCAG